UAUGUUUCAUUCAAUCCCAUAAGGAACUGAUAAAUCUUGUUUUCAUCAUCUUCCUCGAUUAUUCCAUUCUUGGCAGCACAAGUACACCUCUGUCCAUGGUUUGAGCACAUUGUGCCAAAUUCAUCCCACAAACUUUUGAGUUUGUUAAAAUAUGAGGCUAUAUCAAGGGAGCCUUGGGAUGUUUGAGAAAGUUCUCUUUUAAGUUCAAAAAUUUUACUCUUAUUGGGGACACCAUAUCUUUUUUCAAGCUGAGACCACAUGCUUUGAGCAGUAUCUGAAUAUUGAACACUAUCAGCAAUUUGGGAUGACAAAGAAGAAGUUAACCAUGACAUAACCAACAUAUUACAUCUAUCCCACAACCUCUGUUGGGACACGUUAGUACUAGGUCGAGAAAAGGAACCAUCAAUGAAGCAAAUUUUAUUCUUAGCAGACAAAGCCAUAAUCAUCUUUCGUUUCCAACCUCCAUAACCACUACCGGAGAAGGGAGUGGGAACAAGACACGCACCAGGUACAUCGGAAGAAUUUACAAACAAAGGGUUGGAAGGGUCUAUAGAACCAGAGUUACUACUAGAACCACCACCAUUCGUGUUAGAAGCCAUGCUCAAAUGAAUUAAAUCGUUCACAAAUAUCACCAAAAAUCAGUAUUCACAGCUCAAACAAUCAGUACUCACAAAUAGAAUCAAACAAUCACACACAACCAAAGAAUCACAACCAAAAGAUAGGAACAAUGUUACCGUCCUUCUUUGCAACCGGAGAAGAUCGGCCUUUAACAACAGAUAAAACCCUAGGUAUGAACCCUAGUAGUAACCGUCAAAGUUUUGCCUGAGAUACCGUCAACGAUGUCGGAGUAGUACCGAUAACACCCAAAACAUCAGCAAAAAUGAGUAUCAAACCACCGGAUGGCAGUCAAACGACCGAUUUGACCACCAGAAACCCUAGAGGUUGAAAACUCACCGAAAAAUCUCCGAAAAUUUCACAGUACCGAUAACACCCAAAACAUCAGCAAAAAUGAGUAUCAAACCACCGGAUGGCAGUCAAACGACCGAUUUGACCACCAGAAACCCUAGAGGUUGAAAACUCACCGAAAAAUCUCCAAAAAUUUCACAACAAUCGAUUGAACCGUUCAAGAGACGAAGAGCAGUCACAGAUCGUGAAGAUAAAGGCUCGGAAGAACCGUAAUGGGAGUCAAAACCAUCACGACCUUUCGAUCUCAGAAAACCCCAAAAAUCUCAUCAGAGAAUGGUUCAAAUGAACUACUGAUUCACACAAAAGUAUCAUCGGAUCAUUAUACAGGCUCUGAUACCAUGAAAACAUGCAAAAGAUCGAAGAAUUUUAGAGAGAGAAAGUAGAGAGAAGGGAG
rnacentral:lncRNA from 1 species